UGUAGGAGCGAGCCUGCUCGCGAUGGCUGCGUAACAUUCAGCAUUUGUGCUGGCUGAUACACCGCUAUCGCGAGCAGGCUCGCUCCUACA
rnacentral:antisense_RNA from 2 species